UACGAAGGGUGCAAGCGUUAUCCGGAAUUAUUGGGCGUAAAGAGCUCGUAGGCGGUUUGUCGCGUCUGCUGUGAAAACCCGAGGCUCAACCUCGGGCCUGCAGUGGGUACUGGCAGGCUGGAGUAUGGUAGAGGAAGGUGGAAUUCCCGGUGUAGCAGUGAAAUGCGUAGAGAUCGGGAGGAACACCAGUGGCGAAGGCGGCCUUCUGGACCAAUACUGACGCUCAUGCACGAAAGCGUGGGGAGCAAACAGG
rnacentral:rRNA from 1 species